AGGGUUGUAGCUGCCGUCGCCGGGUGUCGUGGCCGGGUUCGCACGGCCUGUGUGACCGCGGGUCCUCCCCGCAGGAUGGCGGCCCCCGGCUCCCAGGAGGACAAGGCGGCGGCGGCAGGGGGCGGGCCCCCGGGCGUGGGGCGGCGGCGGAGCCGGACGCUGCUGGUGCGGCACCUGCCCGCCGACCUGACCGCCGCGGAGAAGGAGGAUCUGCUGAGGCACUUCGGGGCCGCGUCCGUGCGGGUCCUGUCCGACCAGGGGCGGCUGAAACAUACAGCUUUUGCUACAUUCCCCAAUGAAAAUUCAGCUGUAAAGGCAUUGUCAAGACUGCAUCAGCUGAGACUUUUAGGUCACACUUUAGUUGUUGAAUUUGCAAGGGAACAAGACAAUGUUCAGGUACUUAGCCAACCUUCACUCUCAGAGAAAAAUAAAAGGUCAGAAGAACCAGUGGAAGAAGAGAGAGAACGGAAAGAGCCAAGUUGUCCUAAAAUAGAGAAUGGAAUUGCUCCCAGCCAUGGGCUAACCUUUCCUAUAAACUCUUGCCUCAAAUAUCUGUAUCCACCGCCUUCAAGUACAAUCCUAGCAAAUAUAGCAAAUGCCUUGGCAAGCGUGCCUAAAUUUUAUGUACAGGUGCUGCACCUUAUGAAUAAAAUGAAUCUACCCCCACCCUUUGGACCCGUUACUGCUCGACCACCCAUGUAUGAAGAAUAUUUACCAGCGCCUGUGCCGCCGCCACCUAUCCCACCACUGCCUCCAGAGGAGCCUCCUUUGCCUGAAGAAGAGGAAGAUCAGGAAUCUAGCAGAGAAGAAUCUGAAUAUGAAAGUGCUGAUGAGGAAGAAAAAGAGAGAAUGACUAAAUUGAUGGAAUUAGCAACCAUUCAGCCUAAAAGACCAAUAUCCACAAAGCAGCGUAGUGUGAGAAAAAAGCAAAAGAUAAAAGACUUGCUGAAUGCUCCCACAUCUGCUCCCCACAGUAAUCUGCACCCUACACUAUCACCUUCGGAUGUGUUUGAGCAGCCGCAAUCUGUAGGUCACAAAAAAAUUAAGUUCCAAAUUUCUGCAGACAUUCCGGACAUUCUUCAGAAAAGUUUAGAGAGAGACCAAAACAAUGAUCUUUAUGCAACUUCAGAAGAAAUAACUAAUGCAGGAUUUGGAAAGAUCUUCCCAGCUCCUAGCUCUAAUGAUAAAGAGGACACAGAAGAAGAUGAUGAUGAUGAUGAUGAAAUACCAUCAGAAUUUGUUUCUAGAAGGGAAUUGGAAAAAGGCAGACUUUCUAGAGGAGAAAUGGAAAAACUUGCCAUUUUCAAAAACUAUGAGCCAGGUGAUCCAAACUGCAGGAUUUAUGUGAAGAAUUUGUCAAAACAAGUUCAAGAAAAGGAUCUCAAGUUUAUUUUUGGAAGAUAUGUUGACUUUCAAUCAGAAACUGAACGAAUUAUGUUUGACAUACGUUUGAUGAAAGAAGGUCGCAUGAAAGGACAGGCUUUCAUUGGCCUUCCUAAUGAAAAAUCAGCUACCAAAGCCUUAAAAGAAGUAAAUGGAUAUGUUUUGUUUGAAAAGCCCAUGGUAGUUCAAUUUGCACGAUCCGCUAGACCAAAACAGGACUCCAAAGAAGAGAAAAGAAAAAGAUAGAACAAUGCUAAAGUUGGAUGCCCAGUUCUGAUAUAAAUAAAAUGCCAGCUAUAUGAGAGAGCAAUGAAGAAGCUAAUGUCGCAAAGGCUACUGGUUCCAGGGAGAAAGAAACAUUCCUGCGUAAAUACUGCAGUAAUACUGUCAUGCAGAGUGUAUCCUUUCUUGUUGUAUCCUUUUUUUGUGCAAUGUUUUCCAUAGCACUCAAAUACCUCCAAGUUCUCUUUUAGUGUAGGUGCGGGGAGGAAUUUAUACCCUUUUUACAAUUUGGUAAAUCUGUUCAAAUAAGUAAGAUACUUUAAAUUAUAAAGGGGACUUUUUCAGGAAGAAGGUUAGUGAAUCAGGUCACUUAUUUACUUAGAGGGACACCAUGAAUGUUUCUAGUCUCAAAAUGUGACCUUUCCUCCCUGUUCCUUCUCUAAAUCCAUAUAAUUAUUUAUUUUGUGGGCCAGAUCCAGAACUGGUGUAAAUUGGCCUUGUUCCAUUGACUUCAGUGGAGCGAUGCUGACUUAUAUCAGCUGAUGUUCCUUUUUUUAAAAAAUAGCAAUACCACACUGUGUGUUAGAAUGUUUCAGUUUUGAUGGGGUGGUUAUAAGCAGAAAACAAUCCUUGAUGUUGUCUUUUUAAGUAAUACAUUCAUUUAAUGACAGCUUGUGCCCCAGUUAUGGGACGCAACCUGCACUUAGUUUCUCUCGUAACGUUUUCCUUUUUUUAGAAUAGAGAACAGAAAAUCUAGCAAUGUCUCAUAAUGAAGUAAUGAAGACUGAAGCUAAACUUUAUUCAUUGCUACCUUUGUUCCCCACUUCCUGGUAGUGUUUUAUGGCUACUAAUCUAUAAUUUGCUUGUGGGGGGUUGUAUUACAGCAUUCUGUGAUUAACCUUAAUUUUUUUUAACUUUAUAAACUAAUACAUGCUGUAUGUAGUAAGCCAAAUUUAGUUGGCUCAGACAUGAUUCACUAAUUUUCUAUAUUUUAAGAUUUUUCAACUUUCCAGUUAAGCUUCUGACAACUGAACACAGUAAUUUUCCAGUCAUUUAUACUUUUAACAUGCCUUUAUAAUGUUCCAGGUUCCUUUUGUGUUCCAUCUCUUUCAAGUGUUACCAAGCCACAGGAAGAAGCAAUGUGAUCAACAGGACUAUUGAACAGUGCGUAGGUGCAUUUCAAAUGUUUUUAAAACAAGACUUAAUUCUCUUCAUUCUUAAAGGUUCCAAAUGCUUUUAAACACAUUGUAGCCUAUCAGAAGACAGACAUAUGAAAAAUGUAUAUUAGUCUGCUUGUUAAAUCUCUAAUAAAUUAUUCCUCUCCCCUUCA